GUGUGACUACAGGAAAUAGGUAUCUUGGACAAGGCCGACCAUCACCCUUAUAUAAAAGCUUGAGUUUAGAAAACUUGUGUGAGGAACAAACAGUGAAAGUGAGUCAUUUAAAGUAUCGAUAAUAACUGGCUCUUCAAGAGGAAUUUUAAGAGGAUCUAGCCAUGAAAAAAAAUUGAAUUGUUCAUCUUCAAUGUCAAAUGACACUACUUCUUUGGAAAGUCUAUCUUCAAUACCGGCAGAAUAAGUAACCCAAUGAAAUGCCUAUUUUAAAGGUCGGAUGAAAUAAGGAGUAGAGAUACCAAAAAGUAUCACCGGAUCACUGAAAUGAGGGGCACUUGAUCACGCUCAUGACAUGGAAGAGUUGUUACCUCAUCAUGUGCACUACCACAAUUAGGAUAUUGGACAAAUGAUCUUCCUAUAAUGACAACAUAUGAGAGCGAUUUUUUUUAUGACCCUAAAAUCCAAGAACAGAAGAACACUCCAGUUUUUUGUAUUUCACAACAUUCUGCAUUUAUGUUGAAACUUUGGAAACAGUCACCUGGGAUUUUGAAUAUGCAGGAAUGGCUGUUCAGUGAUAAGAUAUUGCCGAGAUAAUGCUCAUCAGAAGAGAGUGACUGGCCUUGCCUAUUCUAGUGCAUUAAAUAUCCUUUUAUCAUCUGGAUAAGAUGCUCAGGUAAAAUUUCAAAGUGGAAGGCUAAUAGAAGAUAUCAGAUGCAUGGGCACAUUUCUGUCAAGUGUCACCAGGACCAAAGACAUUUGUUGGUUGUACAUGAAAGUUGUAUAGCCACUCGAUCCUGAGGGACCUAAUCUCGAGCCCUGCAAGCAGUAGAUUCCGGGGGAAUUGAUCAGUGAUGCUGCAUAUAUAUUCCUGUGAUGACCAGUCCAUAUAUGCCUGCUUUCUUAACAGGCACAUUGUUUUCUUGGACUCGGCAUCUUUGACCAUAAAAUUUUUUAUCAAUCCGAGUGCAUAUUUUACCUUCUAAUUAAAGCCGGGUGAUGUAUGCUUCUACUCUUGCGGCUAAUCCUACAAAACACAAUCAGUUUGCUCUCGGGCUUAGUUAUGGUGGCGUACUAGUUAUAGAACUUGAGGAAGAGGAUAUUGGGGUUGGCAUUGUAGCACGCCUUAGCUUGAGACCAGCAACAACUGAGAACUUGAUAUGAGUUUUUGUUGUUGGAUAGUUGAUUCAAAUAUUAGUAGCUAUUAUUAAGCAGCAUGUGUAUGUUUUAUCAGUUAAAUAAAAGGAUAGACAUGUAGUAGUAUGUGGCAGUUACUGGAAGUUUAUUUAGGAAGUUAAGAAUAGGGUAGUUUCUUUGCCUAGUUAGUUAUCUAUUUCAAUCUGCAUAUUUAUGUGCAAUGCUGUGUAUUCAGUUUAGUUAAUGAGAGUUAUCUAUGUUCUUGUGUCUCUCAUAUUCUGAACGUGGUACAGCAAGAUUGAUGCAUUCUUUCAUGAAAGCGGUUUCAUUAGAAGUGAGAAUGAACCUACACUAUACAUGAAACGUCAAAGUGAUGGAGAAUUUCUGGUGGUUUGCUUAUAUGUUGAUGAUAUGAUAUAUAUGGGUUCCUGCGAGUCAAUUAUCAAUGAGUUCAGGUCAAGUAUGAUGGCUAAGUUUGAGAUGACUGAUUUGGGUCUCCUUCAAUAUUUUUUGGGUCUUGAAGUGAAGCAAAAUGAAGAAGGAAUUUUUGUUUGUCAGAAAAAAUUUGCUACUGAUUUGUUGAAGAAAUUUAAUAUGA